UGGAUCUUAGUGGCGAACGGGUGAGUAACGCGUAGGCAAUCUGCCUUCUAGAUGGGGACAACAUCCCGAAAGGGGUGCUAAUACCGAAUGUUGUACCGUUUCCGCAUGGAGAUGAUACUAAAGGUGGCCUCUGAAUAUGCUACCGCUAGAAGAUGAGCCUGCGUCUGAUUAGCUAGUUGGAGGGGUAACGGCCCACCAAGGCUUCGAUCAGUAGCCGGUCUGAGAGGAUGAACGGCCACACUGGGACUGAGACACGGCCCAGACUCCUACGGGAGGCAGCAGUGGGGAAUCUUCCGCAAUGGACGAAAGUCUGACGGAGCAACGCCGCGUGAGUGAAGAAGGUUUUCGGAUCGUAAAGCUCUUUCGUUAGGGACGAACGUGCUCUUUGUGAAUAAUGAGGAGUAAUGACGGUACCUAAAUAAG
rnacentral:rRNA from 1 species